rnacentral:rRNA from 1 species
CAGUAGCCACGGUAAUACGAAGGUCCCGAGCGUUGUUCGGAAUCACUGGGCGUAAAGGGAGCGUAGGCGGCGUGGUAAGUCAGAUGUGAAAUCCCGGGGCCCAACCCCGGAACUGCAUCCGAUACUGCCAUGCUAGAGGAUUGGAGAGGUAGCUGGAAUUCUUGGUGUAGCAGUGAAAUGCGUGGAGAUCAAGAGGAACACUCGUGGCGAAAGCGAGCUACUGGACAAUAACUGACGCUGAGGCUCGAAGGCCAGGGUAGCGAAAGGGACUAGAUACCCCUGUAGUCCCUGUCUCUUAUAC